UACGUAGGCAGCGAGCGUUGUUCGGAGUUACUGGGCGUAAAGCGUGCGCAGGCGGUGAUGUAAGACAGGUGUGAAAUCCCCGGGCUUAACCUGGGAACUGCAUUUGUGACUGCAUCGCUGGAGUGCGGCAGAGGGGGAUGGAAUUCCGCGUGUAGCAGUGAAAUGCGUAGAUAUGCAGAGGAACACCGAUGGCGAAGGCAGUCCCCUGGACCUGUACUGACGCUCAUGCACGAAAGCGUGGGGAGCAAACAGG
rnacentral:rRNA from 1 species